UUAAGCGACUAAGCGUACACGGUGGAUGCCCUGGCAGUCAGAGGCGAUGAAGGACGUGCUAAUCUGCGAAAAGCGCCGGCGAGGUGAUAUGGACCUUUGACCCGGCGAUGUCCGAAUGGGGAAACCCAGUGCAAUUCGUUGCACUAUCGUUAACUGAAUACAUAGGUUAACGAGGCGAACCGGGGGAACUGAAACAUCUAAGUACCCCGAGGAAAAGAAAUCAACCGAGAUUCCCCCAGUAGCGGCGAGCGAACGGGGAGCAGCCCAGAGUCUGAAUCAGCUUGUGUGUUAGUGGAAGCGUCUGGAAAGUCGCACGGUACAGGGUGACAGUCCCGUACACGAAAGCACACAGGCUGUGAACUCGAAGAGUAGGGCGGGACACGUGGUAUCCUGUCUGAAUAUGGGGGGACCAUCCUCCAAGGCUAAAUACUCCUGACUGACCGAUAGUGAACCAGUACCGUGAGGGAAAGGCGAAAAGAACCCCGGCGAGGGGAGUGAAAAAGAACCUGAAACCGUGUACGUACAAGCAGUGGGAGCACCUUCGUGGUGUGACUGCGUACCUUUUGUAUAAUGGGUCAGCGACUUAUAUUCUGUAGCAAGGUUAACCGUAUAGGGGAGCCGAAGGGAAACCGAGUCUUAACUGGGCGUUAAGUUGCAGGGUAUAGACCCGAAACCCGGUGAUCUAGCCAUGGGCAGGUUGAAGGUUGGGUAACACUAACUGGAGGACCGAACCGACUAAUGUUGAAAAAUUAGCGGAUGACUUGUGGCUGGGGGUGAAAGGCCAAUCAAACCGGGAGAUAGCUGGUUCUCCCCGAAAGCUAUUUAGGUAGCGCCUCGUGAACUCAUCUUCGGGGGUAGAGCACUGUUUCGGCUAGGGGGCCAUCCCGGCUUACCAACCCGAUGCAAACUACGAAUACCGAAGAAUGUUAUCACGGGAGACACACGGCGGGUGCUAACGUCCGUCGUGAAGAGGGAAACAACCCAGACCGCCAGCUAAGGUCCCAAAGUCAUGGUUAAGUGGGAAACGAUGUGGGAAGGCACAGACAGCCAGGAUGUUGGCUUAGAAGCAGCCAUCAUUUAAAGAAAGCGUAAUAGCUCACUGGUCGAGUCGGCCUGCGCGGAAGAUGUAACGGGGCUAAACCAUGCACCGAAGCUGCGGCAGCGACACUAUGUGUUGUUGGGUAGGGGAGCGUUCUGUAAGCCGUUGAAGGUGUGCUGUGAGGCAUGCUGGAGGUAUCAGAAGUGCGAAUGCUGACAUAAGUAACGAUAAAGCGGGUGAAAAGCCCGCUCGCCGGAAGACCAAGGGUUCCUGUCCAACGUUAAUCGGGGCAGGGUGAGUCGACCCCUAAGGCGAGGCCGAAAGGCGUAGUCGAUGGGAAACAGGUUAAUAUUCCUGUACUUGGUGUUACUGCGAAGGGGGGACGGAGAAGGCUAUGUUAGCCGGGCGACGGUUGUCCCGGUUUAAGCAUGUAGGCGGAGGUUCCAGGUAAAUCCGGUACCUUUUAACGCUGAGGUGUGAUGACGAGGCACUACGGUGCUGAAGUAACAAAUGCCCUGCUUCCAGGAAAAGCCUCUAAGCAUCAGGUAACACGAAAUCGUACCCCAAACCGACACAGGUGGUCAGGUAGAGAAUACCAAGGCGCUUGAGAGAACUCGGGUGAAGGAACUAGGCAAAAUGGUGCCGUAACUUCGGGAGAAGGCACGCUGAUAUGUAGGUGAAGCCCCUGCGGGUGGAGCUGAAAUCAGUCGAAGAUACCAGCUGGCUGCAACUGUUUAUUAAAAACACAGCACUGUGCAAACACGAAAGUGGACGUAUACGGUGUGACGCCUGCCCGGUGCCGGAAGGUUAAUUGAUGGGGUUAGCGGCAACGCGAAGCUCUUGAUCGAAGCCCCGGUAAACGGCGGCCGUAACUAUAACGGUCCUAAGGUAGCGAAAUUCCUUGUCGGGUAAGUUCCGACCUGCACGAAUGGCGUAAUGAUGGCCAGGCUGUCUCCACCCGAGACUCAGUGAAAUUGAACUCGCUGUGAAGAUGCAGUGUACCCGCGGCAAGACGGAAAGACCCCGUGAACCUUUACUAUAGCUUGACACUGAACACUGGUCCUUGAUGUGUAGGAUAGGUGGGAGGCUUUGAAGCGUGGACGCCAGUCUGCGUGGAGCCGCCCUUGAAAUACCACCCUUUAAUGGCUGGUGUUCUAACGUAGACCCGUAAUCCGGGUUGCGGACAGUGUCUGGUGGGUAGUUUGACUGGGGCGGUCUCCUCCCAAAGAGUAACGGAGGAGCACGAAGGUUAGCUAAUCCUGGUCGGACAUCAGGAGGUUAGUGCAAUGGCAUAAGCUAGCUUGACUGCGAGAGUGACGGCUCGAGCAGGUGCGAAAGCAGGUCAUAGUGAUCCGGUGGUUCUGAAUGGAAGGGCCAUCGCUCAACGGAUAAAAGGUACUCCGGGGAUAACAGGCUGAUACCGCCCAAGAGUUCAUAUCGACGGCGGUGUUUGGCACCUCGAUGUCGGCUCAUCACAUCCUGGGGCUGAAGUAGGUCCCAAGGGUAUGGCUGUUCGCCAUUUAAAGUGGUACGCGAGCUGGGUUUAGAACGUCGUGAGACAGUUCGGUCCCUAUCUGCCGUGGGCGCUGGAGAAUUGAGGGGGGCUGCUCCUAGUACGAGAGGACCGGAGUGGACGCAUCACUGGUGUUCGGGUUGUCAUGCCAAUGGCACUGCCCGGUAGCUAAAUGCGGAAAAGAUAAGUGCUGAAAGCAUCUAAGCACGAAACUUGCCCCGAGAUGAGUUCUCCCUGACCCUUUAAGGGUCCUGAAGGAACGUUGAAGACUACGACGUUGAUAGGUCGGGUGUGUAAGCGCAGCGAUGCGUUGAGCUAACCGAUACUAAUGAACCGUGAGGCUUAACCUU
rnacentral:rRNA from 1 species